rnacentral:rRNA from 1 species
UGGGGAAUAUUGCACAAUGGGGGAAACCCUGAUGCAGCCAUACCGCGUGUGUGAAGAAGGCUUUCGGGUUGUAAAGCACUUUCAGUGGGGAGGAAAGGUUAGUAGUUAAUACCUGCUAGCUGUGACGUUACCCACAGAAGAAGGACCGGCUAACUCCGUGCCAGCAGCCGCGGUAAUACGGAGGGUCCGAGCGUUAAUCGGAAUUACUGGGCGUAAAGCGCGCGUAGGCGGCUAUUUAAGUCGGAUGUGAAAGCCCUGGGCUCAACCUGGGAACUGCAUUCGAUACUGGAUGGCUAGAGUAUGGUAGAGGGUGGUAGAAUUUCUUGUGUAGCGGUGAAAUGCGUAGAUAUAAGAAGGAAUACCGGUGGCGAAGGCGGCCACCUGGACCAAUACUGACGCUGAGGUGCGAAAGCGUGGGGAUCAAACG